UACGAGGGGGGCGAGCGUUGUUCGGAAUUAUUGGGCGUAAAGGGUGCGUAGGCGGUUUGGUAAGUCUGAUGUGAAAUCUAUGGGCUCAACUCAUAGUCUGCAUCGGAAACUGCCGGGCUUGAGUAUGGGAGAGGUGAGUGGAAUUCCUGGUGUAGCGGUGAAAUGCGUGGAUAUCAGGAGGAACACCUGUGGCGAAAGCGGCUCACUGGACCAUAACUGACGCUGAGGCGCGAAAGCUAGGGGAGCAAACAGG
rnacentral:rRNA from 1 species